UACAGAGGUGGCAAGCGUUGUUCGGAAUUACUGGGCGUAAAGGGCGCGUAGGCGGCUUGGUCAGUCCCGUGUGAAAUCCCUCGGCUUAACCGGGGAACUGCGUCUGAUACUGGAUGGCUUGAGUUUGGGAGAGGGACGCGGAAUUCCAGGUGUAGCGGUGAAAUGCGUAGAUAUCUGGAGGAACACCGGUGGCGAAGGCGGCGUCCUGGACCAAUACUGACACUGAAACGCGAAAGCCAGGGGAGCAAACGGG
rnacentral:rRNA from 1 species